GGAUUUUGCAGGAACAUAUGGAGUUUUGGUGCUCUUUGGAAUAUUUCCUGCUGCAAUGGCUUGGUCAGAUAGAUACUCAAGUUCAUCGCCAUCAAUAAAACUGCCACAGCUACUCCCUGGUGGAAGAGUAACCCUUUCUUUCGUGAUGGGAGGUGCAGCAUACAUCAUUCUUUCUGAAAUACUGGAGAAAUUUGGGCACCCUUAAUUAUCAAGAAACAAAUGAUCUUAUAGCUUAUGAUCCUUCAGAGCCUCCCC
rnacentral:misc_RNA from 1 species